GGGGUUGUGGCUCAAGUGGUAGAGCGCUCGCCUAGCACGUGUGAGGCACUGGGUUCGAUCCUCAGCACCU
rnacentral:tRNA from 1 species